ensembl:lncRNA
CUGGACGUCACAUGAAAGGACAAUGGUCAGUGAUACAUGGGAAAUGAACACGGUGAACUCUUCGGUAGCCCCCACCUACUGCUCUCAGAGAGAUUGCAAGCUGUUGUGCCAGGUGGUGGAACUGCAGCCUGAAUAGAACAGGUGGGACUAGAAUUCGCAGGAUUCUCCUCUCUCCAGAGGAGGCAGCUACACAAGGAGAGAGGCCAGAAAGCUGCAGAGACCUUCCUCUGAUUGUUUGCUCACAUACGUUUUAGAAUAUCUUCACUGCUUUGCCAAGUAGAAUCAAAGAUCCACAGAAUCUCAGACAGACCGGACUCCUGCGCCGCCCACUCCAGAAGUCCCUGGGGUAGAUGCUAGCGGGUCAGUGAUGUGCUCAUCUUUCUAACUUCAUGAAGCUAGAGGUUUAUGACGAGAGAAGAAGAAGAAAGAGGAAGAGGAGGAGGACAGAGUCAAACCAAUGUCACACGCCGCUCAUAACUGUAUGUUCUUUCUGUACAUUGCGUUACGAUGCUAAAUCGUCAAUGAAAGAAGUGUCUACACCAAGUUUUGAGGAUCUAGGUCAUCAUUUGCUUACUUCGUUCUUGAUUCCUGUGUUAUAUAUCGCAAUGACUUAUUGUAUAGACAGAUGAGGGUAAAUUUUGUCUCUUCAAAGACCUGUGGCUGAAAGGCCCUGACUCUCAGUGCUUACGGCGUUCUCGAGCCAAGGGUAAACAAGGUGUGUACCAAGUGUCUGACAGCAGUGUGAACGUUGAUGUGCUCCUAAUUUUGCAGAGUGUUCUUUUAAGUAGCAUCAAUUUACUCCUUCUCCAAGAAAAUGAAAAUAGCUAAAGCUCAUCUGUGCUGAGUCGUUUAAGUCUCAAAGACUGCGCUAACUGCUGUGUGUGCAUUAUUCCAUUUAACCCUCAAAACAACCCUCUAAAGUAGAUAUCAUUUUCAUCUCCAUUUAACGGAUGAAGCUAUGAGGCACAGAGCAGUCAACUAACUCUCCCAAAGUCACACAGUGGACAAAUCUCUGAUUUGAACCAAAGUAUUCUAAUUUUCCGGUACUCCACUCUCCCUCCUUGUCUAUGAAUCAGAAAUUAGUGUGCUUCUCCUAAACAACGAUUUUCUGUAUCACAUGGACACCAGGAUCUGUGAGAUUUACCAGGAUCUCAUUGUAACCCACAGAGGUGACAAAGCUUGUUUCUCUAGAGUUUUAAUUUUAGAUCUCUGUGCUAGUUAUUUAUUAACACGCCUACUUCCUAGAUUUCCCUCGUUUGUCUUUUUUUCUUUCUCAUCCACCUGUCAUUGGUGUUAUCUUGCUGUAUUUUAUGUAUUCCCUUCUGGCUGCCUUACAUUCCUUUUGCAAUAAAUAUACACGUAUAUACGUCCAUAUCAAAGCAGUCAUCUCAGAAACAGGGUGGUGAGUGGUGACAUAUGAGUUAUAAACCUGCAAUUAGCGAGCAAUUACUUCAUUAUGUUUCCAUCAUUCCCUUUAAUUAAAAAUACAUUAUCUGUAAAGAUGUCUGCAAAAUUACCACUAAUUUAUCAUAAAUUAAGGAUACCAGAUCCCUGAAGUUUGAAAAAAAGUCUUUAUAUUGAUAGAAAUAAAUAAAUCCACCACUUAGCAAAGCCAAUGAGGCAGCCAGAACCGACCCUGGAAAAGCAAAUAUCUCCAGAAAAAUCCUUGGCCAAUUCAUCAUGUACGC